rnacentral:rRNA from 1 species
GUUAGGAAUAUUGGACAAUGGGCGCAAGCCUGAUCCAGCCAUGCCGCGUGAGUGAUGAAGGCCUUCGGGUUGUAAAGCUCUUUAGUCCACGAAUAUAAUGACUGUAGUGGAAGAAUAAGCCCCGGCUAACUUCGUGCCAGCAGCCGCGGUAAUACGAAGGGGGCGAGCGUUAUUCGGAAUCACUGGGCGUAAAGCGUGCGUAGGCUGUUUUGUAAGUCAGAAGUGAAAGCCCAGGGCUUAACCCUGGAAUUGCUUUUGAAACUACAAGACUCGAGUUCGAGAGAGGAUAGCGGAAUUGUCAGUGUAGCAGUGAAAUGCGUAGAUAUUGACAGGAACACCAGUGGCGCAAGCGGCUAUCUGGACCGAUAUUGACGCUAAGGCACGAAAGCGUGGGGAGCAAACAGGAUUAGAUACCCCGGUAGUCC